UCCCUGGUGGUUCAGCGGUAAAGAGUCUGCCUGCAAUGCAGGAGACUCAGGUUUUAUUCCUGAGUUGGGAA
rnacentral:tRNA from 1 species